UACAGAGGUCUCGAGCGUUAGGCGGAAUCACUGGGCUUAAAGCGUGUGUAGGCGGGUCGUUAAGUGCCUUGUGAAAUCCCAUGGCUCAACCAUGGAACUGCUGGGCAUACUGGCGAUCUUGUGCCACCUAGGGGCGAGCGGAACAGAUGGUGGAGCGGUGAAAUGCGUAGAUAUCAUCUGGAACGCCAAUGGUGAAAACAGCUCGCUGGGGGUGUGCAGACGCUGAGACACGAAAGCCAGGGGAGCGAACGGG
rnacentral:rRNA from 1 species